rnacentral:rRNA from 1 species
UGGGGAAUUUUGGACAAUGGGCGCAAGCCUGAUCCAGCCAUGCCGCGUGUGGGAAGAAGGCCUUCGGGUUGUAAACCACUUUUGUCAGGGAAGAAACGGCCUGAUCUAAUACAUUGGGUUAAUGACGGUACCUGAAGAAUAAGCACCGGCUAACUACGUGCCAGCAGCCGCGGUAAUACGUAGGGUGCGAGCGUUAAUCGGAAUUACUGGGCGUAAAGCGUGCGCAGGCGGCUUUGCAAGACAGAUGUGAAAUCCCCGGGCUCAACCUGGGAACUGCAUUUGUGACUGCAAGGCUAGAGUACGGUAGAGGGGGAUGGAAUUCCGCGUGUAGCAGUGAAAUGCGUAGAUAUGCGGAGGAACACCGAUGGCGAAGGCAAUCCCCUGGACUAACACUGACGCUCAUGCACGAAAGCGUGGGGAGCAAACGGGAUUAGAUACCCUUGUAGUCCCUGAGCGGGCUGGCAAGGCGCAU